AACGAACGCUGGCGGCAUGCCUAACACAUGCAAGUCGAACGAGACCUUCGGGUCUAGUGGCGCACGGGUGCGUAACGCGUGGGAACCUGCCUUUAGGUUCGGAAUAACUCAGAGAAAUUUGAGCUAAUACCGGAUAAUGUCUUCGGACCAAAGAUUUAUCGCCUUUAGAUGGGCCCGCGUAAGAUUAGCUAGUUGGUGGGGUAAAGGCCUACCAAGGCGACGAUCUUUAGCUGGUCUGGGAGGAUGAUCAGCCACACUGGGACUGAGACACGGCCCAGACUCCUACGGAGGCAGCAGUGGGGAAUAUUGGACAAUGGGCGAAAGCCUGAUCCAGCAAUGCCGCGUGAGUGAUGAAGGCCUUAGGGUUGUAAAGCUCUUUUUACCCGAGAUGAUAAUGACAGUAUCGGGAG
rnacentral:rRNA from 1 species